rnacentral:rRNA from 1 species
ACGCUCGACACCUACGGGGGGCAGCAGUGGGGAAUAUUGCACAAUGGGGGGAAACCCUGAUGCAGCGACGCCGCGUGAAGGAAGAAGUAUCUCGGUAUGUAAACUUCUAUCAGCAGGGAAGAAAAAUGACGGUACCUGACUAAGAAGCCCCGGCUAACUACGUGCCAGCAGCCGCGGUAAUCUGAGCGGGCUGGCAAGGC